rnacentral:rRNA from 1 species
GGCUUAGAGUUUGAUCAUGGCUCAGGAUGAACGCUGGCGGCGUGCCUAACACAUGCAAGUCGAACGAAGCACCUUGGGAGAUUCUUCGGAUGAUCUUAUGGUGACUGAGUGGCGGACGGGUGAGUAACGCGUGGGUAACCUGCCCUGUACAGGGGGACAACAGCUAGAAAUGGCUGCUAAUACCGCAUAAGCGCACAGGAAGACAUCUUCCAGUGUGAAAAACUCCGGUGGUACAGGAUGGGCCCGCGUCUGAUUAGCUUGUUGGCGGGGUAAGGGCCCACCAAGGCGACGAUCAGUAGCCGGUCUGAGAGGAUGAACGGCCACAUUGGAACUGAGACACGGUCCAAACUCCUACGGGAGGCAGCAGUGGGGAAUAUUGCACAAUGGGGGGAACCCUGAUGCAGCAACGCCGCGUGAGUGAAGAAGUAUUUCGGUAUGUAAAGCUCUAUCAGCAGGGAAGAUAAUGACGGUACCUGACUAAGAAGCUCCGGCUAAAUACGUGCCAGCAGCCGCGGUAAUACGUAUGGAGCAAGCGUUAUCCGGAUUUACUGGGUGUAAAGGGUGCGUAGGCGGCGCGGCAAGUCAGAUGUGAAAGACCGGGGCUCAACCCCGGGGCUGCAUUUGAAACUGCGGUGCUCGAGUCCAGGAGAGGCAGAUGGAAUUAAGCC